rnacentral:rRNA from 1 species
UUAAUGGAGAGUUUGAUCCUGGCUCAGGACGAACGCUGGCGGCGUGCCUAAUACAUGCAAGUCGAGCGGGGUUACUUAGAAGCUUGCUUCUAAGUAACCUAGCGGCGGACGGGUG